rnacentral:rRNA from 1 species
AUUGAACGCUGGCGGCAGGCUUAACACAUGCAAGUCGAGCGGGGUGAUGGUGCUUGCACUAUCACUUAGCGGCGGACGGGUGAGUAAUGCUUAGGAAUCUGCCUAUUAGUGGGGGACAACAUCUCGAAAGGGAUGAUAAUACCGCAUACGUCCUACGGGAGAAAGCAGGGGAUCACUUGUGACCUUGCGCUAAUAGAUGAGCCUAAGUCGGAUUAGCUAGUUGGUGGGGUAAAGGCCUACCAAGUCGACGAUCUGUAGCGGGUCUGAGAGGAUGAUCCGCCAAACUGGGACUGAGACACGGCCCAGACUCCUACUGGAGGCAGCAGUGGGGAAUAUUGGACAAUGGGGGGAACCCUGAUCCAGCCAUGCCGCGUGUGUGAAGAAGGCCUUAUGGUUGUAAAGCACUUUAAGCGAGGAGGAGGCUCUUUUGGUUAAUACCCAAGAUGAGUGGACGUUACUCGCAGAAUAAGCACCGGCUAACUCUGUGCCAGCCGCCGCGGUAA